rnacentral:rRNA from 1 species
CCUACGGGAGGCAGCAGUGAGGAAUAUUGGUCAAUGGACGGAAGUCUGAACCAGCCAUGCCGCGUGCAGGAAGACGGCCCUACGGGUUGUAAACCUCUUUUGUCGGGGAGCAAAGCGAACCACGUGUGGUUCAUUGAGAGUACCCGAAGAAAAAGCAUCGGCUAACUCCGUGCCAGCAGCCGCGGUAAUACGGAGGAUGCGAGCGUUAUCCGGAUUUAUUGGGUUUAAAGGGUGCGCAGGCGGAGGUGCAAGUCAGCGGUCAAAUUGCGGGGCUCAACCCCGUACUGCCGUUGAAACUGCAGCCCUUGAGUGCGCGAGAAGUAUGCGGAAUGCGUGGUGUAGCGGUGAAAUGCAUAGAUAUCACGCAGAACUCCGAUUGCGAAGGCAGCAUACCGGCGCGCAACUGACGCUCAUGCACGAAAGCGUGGGUAUCGAACAGGAUUAGAUACCCUUGUAGUC